rnacentral:rRNA from 1 species
UGCGCAGGCGGUUCGGAAAGAAAGAUGUGAAAUCCCCGAGCUUAACUUGGGAAUUGCAUUCGAUACUGGGAAGCUAGAGUAUGGGAGAGGAUGGUAGAAUUCCAGGUGUAGCGGUGAAAUGCGUAGAGAUCUGGAGGAAUACCGAUGGCGAAGGCAGCCAUCUGGCCUAAUACUGACGCUGAGGUACGAAAGCAUGGGGAGCAAACAGGAUUAGAUACCCCUGUA